rnacentral:misc_RNA from 1 species
CUCCAUAGUAAUGAAAUAGCCAACUGAUGAAGCAGAGAAUUUCUGUUUUAAAUUCUACAGCUUGUCAGUGAUUUUUCAUUAUCAGCACACUCAUCUCUGCUCAUGGUAUCAUAAAUUUCCAAACUUACACAAUCUCACUAGAAUGGCUGACUUGGCAGCAUGGGAGGCAAAAACAAUUUCUGAAGUUAUUGUUGGAAUCUUCAUGACUCUGAUCAUAAUGAUCGUGCUCUGGUGGGCCAUUUACACAGGAUUUAGGCUUGCAACUGAGCAUAAAAGAGAGGGCAAAUUUCAUCUCUUGACAUCUUCAAUUGGAGUGGUCACUAUUAUCUUCGGUUUAGUUUAUUUCAUCAUUGGACUUGGCA